rnacentral:lncRNA from 1 species
UCAUUCAUAUAACAGGAAAUCAAAUUAGAAAAACAAGGGUUUCAUCUUGUUACACUCAUCUCUAACAAAUAUGGUUUAGUUAGUCAUGGCAGAGAUAGAAAAGAUAGAGAUUAGAGAAGAAUUACAAGAAAGAUUCAUGAAUGAUUCUUGAUUAAAUUGCUCCAAUGGUGUUAGAAACGACCGUUUUUGAGUUUCUAUGUUAGGGCACAAGUCUCCCUACUUCUCAAUAGUAAAAAAAGAUCCCUAAAAAGUGAGAAAAGCGAGUUUUAAUGUGUUUUGAUGUGCGUCGCACGCUUCAGGCGUGGAUUGGCACUGGCUUCAUCGCGAAAUGCGCUUCAGGCGUGGAAUGGCAAUGGCUUCAACGCGAAAUGCGCUUCAGGCGCACUUCAAGCGCACAUCAUCUUCUAUUUGGAGUUUAGUGCAUUUUUCUCCUCUUUUGAGUUCGAGUUUGAUUUUGUUGUCUUCCUGAAAGUUGUUGCUAUGGAUCAUAGCUUUCAUUUGUAUUUGGUUUAACUCCAAUUGGACAUUCACGACUCCAUAUAUGGCUGAAAUGCUCCACAUAGGUCAUGUUGAUUUCUCACCAAAAUUCAACACUGCAUUAAAGCAAAGUAACAACACAAAAAUCUAAAAAAUCUCUACUUAAUCAAAGAAAUAAGAACAUAAACAUUUCAUUAAAGAAAAGAAAUAAAAUUAACAAAAUAUAUCAAAUAACUGCUUAAAUUAAUUAAUGAAUAAAAGAUAAAUAACACUUAAAACAAUGAAAAAUAUGCAUAUGAUGAAGAGUCAUCAAUUACAAAACUAUAACAUUAUAUAGCCAAAAUUUGAAGAUACCUUACAUCUAUAAAUUAUAAUUAUUCUCUUUUUUUCUUUAGAUUACUCUUACAUAAAAAUUUUCAUUUUUAACAUUCUCAAAAAUAUAUUUCUAAAUGGAUCUGUUUGAUAUACAAAAGAGUAAGUACCGUACAUGACAAAACAACACAUGACAAACGUUUUCUAUUGUACGAUAUUUGAUGGACGAUAAACAACACAAACAAAAUGAUAGAAAAUUUACUACAAUAUCCUUUAUGAUAUUUAUAGACUAUUAUGGCAAUAAAUAUUGAUACAGCAGAGAAAGAGAGGAAAUAGAUAAAAUAGAGAGUGGGGGAGAAAGAGAAUAGAGAUAGACAGAGAAAGGGUUGAGAGAUGGGGAGGAGAGAGAUGAGACAACAACAAAGAGGCAUGAGAGAAAGUAAGAGAUGAAAA